rnacentral:rRNA from 1 species
UACGUAGGGUCCGAGCGUUGUCCGGAAUUACUGGGCGUAAAGAGCUCGUAGGUGGUUUGUCGCGUUGUUCGUGAAAACUCACAGCUCAACUGUGGGCGUGCGGGCGAUACGGGCAGACUAGAGUACUGCAGGGGAGACUGGAAUUCCUGGUGUAGCGGUGGAAUGCGCAGAUAUCAGGAGGAACACCGGUGGCGAAGGCGGGUCUCUGGGCAGUAACUGACGCUGAGACACGAAAGCGUGGGUAGCAAACAGG